rnacentral:rRNA from 1 species
UACGUAGGGGGCAAGCGUUGUCCGGAAUCAUUGGGCGUAAAGCGCGCGUAGGCGGCCCGGUAAGUCCGCUGUGAAAGUCGGGGGCUCAACCCUCGAAUGCCGGUGGAUACUGUCGGGCUAGAGUGCGGAAGAGGCGAGUGGAAUUCCUGGUGUAGCGGUGAAAUGCGCAGAUAUCAGGAGGAACACCAAUUGCGAAGGCAGCUCGCUGGGACGUAACUGACGCUGAGACGCGAAAGCGUGGGGAGCAAACAGG